rnacentral:rRNA from 1 species
UACGUAGGGACCGAGCGUUGUCCGGAAUCAUUGGGCGUAAAGAGCGUGUAGGCGGCCACUUAAGUCCUGCGUGAAAUCUUGCGGCUCAACCGCAAGCGGUCGUGGGAAACUGGGUGGCUAGAGUGCGGGAGAGGAGAGUGGAAUUCCUGGUGUAGCGGUGGAAUGCGCAGAGAUCAGGAGGAACACCAAUGGCGAAGGCAGCUCUCUGGCUUCACCCUGACGCUGAGGCGCGAAAGCGUGGGGAGCGAACGGG